rnacentral:rRNA from 1 species
AGAACGAACGCUGGCGGCGUGGAUAAGACAUGCAAGUCGAGCGCUGAUUACGGGGUAGCAAUAUUCCGUGGUCGGAGCGGCGCAAGGGUGCGUAACACGUGGGUAAUCUGCCAUGAAGUUCGGGAUAACUUGCUGAAAGGCGAGCUAAUACCGGAUGUGACAAUUGAAAGACAUCUUUUUAUUGUUAAAGUUGGGGACCGUAAGGCCUGACGCUUCUUGAUGAACCCGCGGCCUAUCAGCUAGUUGGUGAGGUAACGGCCCACCAAGGCUAAGACGGGUAGCUGGUCUGAGAGGACGACCAGCCACACUGGAACUGAGACACGGUCCAGACACCUACGGGUGGCAGCAGUCGAGAAUUUUUCACAAUGGGCGCAAGCCUGAUGGAGCGACGCCGCGUGGGGGAUGGAAUGGCUUCGGCCCGUAAACCCCUGUCCAUUUGGGAACAAGGCCUUACGUUAACUGCGUGGAGGUUUGAUAGUACCAGAAGAGGAAGAGACGGCUAACUC